UUCUGACUUUCAUUGGACAAGUAUGUAUUCAAGAUUUAUUAAAAUAUAUUUAUUAUAUUUUAGCUUUAAGAAAGUAGUUUACACUUUAUCUAUAUAAGGGUAUUUUGGGUUUUUGUAAAUUCUUAUUUAUUGUUUUUUUUCUUCAUUUGGUCAUUUUUUAACUUUAAAAUUGCUAUUAUUCUAGUUGAGCCAAUUUCUUUCCUCUCGUUUCUUUUCCCUCUCUCAAAUACCAUUAAAAGUAUGUUUUUGUAAAUUUUUUAAAUAUCAACGCCAAGCACCCGGUGAAUGUGCUACAAAAGCUCAACUUCAUUUCACAAAACCCUUCCGCCAUUCACACUCUCAAUCUUUCUUCCCUCCAAUUUCUCACAAAAUCCUCUCUCGUCGGACUUCCAUCGACACAGAAAGUAAUCGAAGCAACUCUCCAAAUUCUGAAGCCCAAGCCAUUUGUCGGAGCUAAUGUGUUCCUCUCUCGUAAUCUUGUCGCACCGGAGAUGUUCGAUGCUUUUCACGACACUUUCAAGCAGAAUGGGGCUGAGGUUUUCCUCUGUUGCGAUCCCUCUCAAAACGCCCCUAACGAUUAUCAUGUUAUCUCCUCUGCCAAUCACGUACGAAACGUCUCAUCGAUUUCUUGUUCAAUUUAUAUGGCUACUUCGGAUUUGCAAUGUGUUUAUUAGUUGUUGAUUCCUGCUUUCAGGCAAAGUUCGAGGAUCUUCGCGCCAAGGGAUGCAACUUGUUAGGUCCUCAGUGCGUGAUGUCAUGUGCAAAAAGAGCACAGACCUCUUCCUCAACAGGGUUAUACUUGCUGCCUUGCCAUGGAUGGUGUGAAAAUCUUGGCAUCCGAUUUUCAGGAAGAUGAAAAGGUACGUUGCAAAUGUUCUUAUUAGUAAUUAGUAAUUUUAUUUUUGUAGAACUAAUGACACAAAGUUGCAUUGCAGGUUGAGAUAGGGAAGUUAGUUAGUGCAAUGGGGGGAGUAUUGCAUACGAAAGCAUCACUAGAUGUCAGUUUUGUUAUCGCGAAGAAUACUUUGGCUGCGAAAUACAAGGUCGUGUUGCUUGAACUUUCGAUUUUCUUGACGUGAUAUGUAUGUGUAUUUAGACCAUUUCAUGAAUAUCACGUGAAUCAUAAGAUUUGAGUCAA